GACCAGAUUGCCUAAGGACACAGAGCUGGUCUGGAUUCCCACCAUGGCCUGGGCCCCGCUCCUCUUCCUCCUCCUCACGUACUGCUCAGGUUCUCUUGCCCAGUACGUGCUGACUCAGCCGCCUGCAGCGUCCGUCUCCCCAGGACAGACUGCCCGGCUCACCUGCACAGGGACCAGUCUUGGGAGCUACUAUGUACAGUGGUUCCAGCAGAAACCCGGCAGUGCCCCCCUGCAGCUGAUCUAUCAGAGCAGCAAGAGACCCUCCGGCAUCCCUGACCGAUUCUCUGGUGCCAUAUCUGGUGACACGGCCACGUUGACCAUCACUGGAGUCCAGGCCCAGGAUGAGGCUGAUUAUUACUGCCAGGUGUGGGAUAGCGGCAACAAUCAGUCCCACAGUGACACAGUCAGAUGGGAACUGAGACUCAAACCUGGUGUUUACACUAGGGAACUUUCCAAAUAUCAUUUGGUACUAAGGGCUCUGCUCAGAGGACGGGGGAUGCAGCGGGAGGUCAUGACAAUGGCCACAGCAAAAAAGGCGUCAUUCACCCUGAUUCCCUCCGUGUGA